rnacentral:rRNA from 1 species
UUAAGCGACUAAGCGUACACGGUGGAUGCCUAGGCAGUCAGAGGCGAUGAAGGGCGUGCUAAUCUGCGAAAAGCGUCGGUAAGCUGAUAUGAAGCGUAAUAACCGACGAUACCCGAAUGGGGAAACCCAGUGCAAUUCGUUGCACUAUUGCAUGGUGAAUACAUAGCCAUGCAAGGCGAACCGGGGGAACUGAAACAUCUAAGUACCCCGAGGAAAAGAAAUCAACCGAGAUUCCCCCAGUAGCGGCGAGCGAACGGGGAAGAGCCCAGAGUCUGAAUCAGUUGGUGUGUUAGUGGAAGCGUCUGGAAAGUCGCACGGUACAGGGUGAUAGUCCCGUACACAAAAACACACUGGCUGUGAACUCGAUGAGUAGGGCGGGACACGUGACAUCCUGUCUGAAUAUGGGGGGACCAUCCUCCAAGGCUAAAUACUCCUGACUGACCGAUAGUGAACCAGUACCGUGAGGGAAAGGCGAAAAGAACCCCGGCGAGGGGAGUGAAAUAGAACCUGAAACCGUGUACGUACAAGCAGUGGGAGCACCUUCGUGGUGUGACUGCGUACCUUUUGUAUAAUGGGUCAGCGACUUAUAUUUUGUAGCAAGGUUAACCGAAUAGGGGAGCCGUAGGGAAACCGAGUCUUAACUGGGCGUCUAGUUGCAAGGUAUAGACCCGAAACCCGGUGAUCUAGCCAUGGGCAGGUUGAAGGUUGGGUAACACUAACUGGAGGACCGAACCGACUAAUGUUGAAAAAUUAGCGGAUGACUUGUGGCUGGGGGUGAAAGGCCAAUCAAACCGGGAGAUAGCUGGUUCUCCCCGAAAGCUAUUUAGGUAGCGCCUCGUGAACUCAUCUUCGGGGGUAGAGCACUGUUUCGGCUAGGGGUCCAUCCCGGAUUACCAAACCGAUGCAAACUCCGAAUACCGAAGAAUGUUAUCACGGGAGACACACGGCGGGUGCUAACGUCCGUCGUGAAGAGGGAAACAACCCAGACCGCCAGCUAAGGUCCCAAAGUCAUGGUUAAGUGGGAAACGAUGUGGGAAGGCAUAGACAGCCAGGAUGUUGGCUUAGAAGCAGCCAUCAUUUAAAGAAAGCGUAAUAGCUCACUGGUCGAGUCGGCCUGCGCGGAAGAUGUAACGGGGCUAAACCAUGCACCGAAGCUGCGGCAGCGACGCUUAGGCGUUGUUGGGUAGGGGAGCGUUCUGUAAGCCGUUGAAGGUGGCCUGUGAGGGCUGCUGGAGGAAUCAGAAGUGCGAAUGCUGACAUAAGUAACGAUAAUGCGGGUGAAAAACCCGCACGCCGGAAGACCAAGGGUUCCUGUCCAACGUUAAUCGGGGCAGGGUGAGUCGACCCCUAAGGCGAGGCUGAAAAGCGUAGUCGAUGGGAAACAGGUUAAUAUUCCUGUACUGGGUGUGACUGCGAAGGGGGGACGGAGAAGGCUAGGCUAGCCGGGCGACGGUUGUCCCGGUUUAAGCAUGUAGGCGGAGCGACUUGGUAAAUCCGGUUGCUUAUCAACGCUGAGGUGUGAUGACGAGCCACUACGGUGGUGAAGUAGUUGAUGCCAAGCUUCCAGGAAAAGCCUCUAAGCAUCAGGUGACAUUCAAUCGUACCCCAAACCGACACAGGUGGUCAGGUAGAGAAUACUCAGGCGCUUGAGAGAACUCGGGUGAAGGAACUAGGCAAAAUGGUGCCGUAACUUCGGGAGAAGGCACGCUGGCAUUAGGUAAAGAGACUUGCUCUCGGCGCCGAAGCCAGUCGCAGAUACCAGCUGGCUGCAACUGUUUAAUAAAAACACAGCACUGUGCAAACACGAAAGUGGACGUAUACGGUGUGACGCCUGCCCGGUGCUGGAAGGUUAAUUGAUGGGGUCAGCCGCAAGGCGAAGCUCUUGAUCGAAGCCCCAGUAAACGGCGGCCGUAACUAUAACGGUCCUAAGGUAGCGAAAUUCCUUGUCGGGUAAGUUCCGACCUGCACGAAUGGCGUAAUGAUGGCCAGGCUGUCUCCACCCGAGACUCAGUGAAAUUGAACUCGCUGUGAAGAUGCAGUGUACCCGCGGCAAGACGGAAAGACCCCGUGAACCUUUACUAUAGCUUGACACUGAAUAUUGAGCCUUGAUGUGUAGGAUAGGUGGGAGGCAUCGAAGCGUGGACGCCAGUCUGCGUGGAGCCAACCUUGAAAUACCACCCUUUAAUGUUUGAUGUUCUAACUCGGCCCCAUAAUCUGGGGUGAGGACAGUGUCUGGUGGGUAGUUUGACUGGGGCGGUCUCCUCCCAAAGAGUAACGGAGGAGCACAAAGGUUAGCUAAUCACGGUCGGACAUCGUGAGGUUAGUGCAAAGGCAUAAGCUAGCUUGACUGCGAGAGUGACGGCUCGAGCAGGUACGAAAGUAGGUCUUAGUGAUCCGGUGGUUCUGAAUGGAAGGGCCAUCGCUCAACGGAUAAAAGGUACUCCGGGGAUAACAGGCUGAUACCGCCCAAGAGUUCAUAUCGACGGCGGUGUUUGGCACCUCGAUGUCGGCUCAUCACAUCCUGGGGCUGAAGUAGGUCCCAAGGGUAUGGCUGUUCGCCAUUUAAAGUGGUACGCGAGCUGGGUUUAGAACGUCGUGAGACAGUUCGGUCCCUAUCUGCCGUGGGCGUUGGAAGAUUGAGAGGGGCUGCUCCUAGUACGAGAGGACCGGAGUGGACGCAUCACUGGUGUUCGGGUUGUCAUGCCAAUGGCAUUGCCCGGUAGCUAAAUGCGGAAAAGAUAAGCGCUGAAAGCAUCUAAGCGCGAAACUUGCCUCGAGAUGAGUCUUCCCUGGGGCUUUAAGCCCCCUGAAGGAACGUUAAAGACUAUGACGUUGAUAGGCUGGGUGUGUAAGUGCAGCGAUGCAUUGAGCUAACCAGUACUAAUGAUCCGUGAGGCUUAACCUU